UGGUGGAGUGAUUUGUCUGGUUAAUUCCGUUAACGAACGAGACCUCGACCUGCUAAAUAGUUCGACGAAUUCUUCGGGAUUCGUACGUGACUUCUUAGAGGGACUAUCGGUGGUUAGCCGAUGGAAGUUCGAGGCAAUAACA
rnacentral:rRNA from 1 species